GACGAACGCUGGCGGCGUGCUUAACACAUGCAAGUCGAACGGAAAGGCCCUGCUUUUGUGGGGUGCUCGAGUGGCGAACGGGUGAGUAACACGUGAGUAACCUGCCCUUGACUUUGGGAUAACUUCAGGAAACUGGGGCUAAUACCGGAUAGGAGCUCCUGCUGCAUGGUGGGGGUUGGAAAGUUUCGGCGGUUGGGGAUGGACUCGCGGCUUAUCAGCUUGUUGGUGGGGUAGUGGCUUACCAAGGCUUUGACGGGUAGCCGGCCUGAGAGGGUGACCGGCCAAAUUGGGACGGAGAUCAGGCCCAGACUCCUACGGGAGGCAGCAGUGGGGAAUAUUGCACAAUGGGCGGAAGCCUGAUGCAGCAACGCCGCGUGCGGGAUGACGGCCUUCGGGUUGUAAACCGCUUUCGCCUGUGACGAAGCGUGAGUGACGGUAAUGGGUAAAGAAGCACCGGCUAACUACGUG
rnacentral:rRNA from 1 species